AAUAGAUGACGCCGUUGACUUUUUCUCACAUGUUUGACCAUUCGUCUUAUUUAAAAAAUUUAUGUAAUUAUAAUUUAUUUUGUUAUGAGUUGUUUUAUCACUCAUAGUACUUUAAGUGUGAUCUAUAUCUUAUACAUUUGCAUAAAAUUUUUGAAUAAGACGAAUGGUCAAACAUGUGAGAAAAGUUAACGGCGUCAUCUAUU
rfam:Oryza sativa Japonica Group DNA, chromosome 11, cultivar: Nipponbare, complete sequence.